rnacentral:lncRNA from 1 species
GCUCUGGAGCCCAGAGGAACAACUUUUCAGCCCAAGUUCCUCUCUGCCUGUUCUUCAUCCUCUUCCAGAUCACACGACUGAGAGUCUGGAGAGUUCAAGCGUACAAAUCAUCUGGCCUGGAGGAGAAGCCUGCAGUUAUAGCUGCUUUUGUACAAGGAGGCUUCUGAGCAGCUGUAGCCUGAGGGAAAAACAACAAAUGGUUGCUGCCAGCUGGGUCAGAGCCGCAGCUCAGCAGGGCCUGGCUGGGGCCUGCCCGGGAGAGGCAGUGGGAGAAGUGGCCUGAAGGAUGCGGCCACAGGUGGGUUUCUGUGUGGGGGACAAAACAGUUCAGCAGGUUAGAAACCCUGUUGAGACCAGCGAGGGAAGGCCCUGAUUUUUGUCUGUGCUGCAGCUGCAUCACUGACUCGGGGCAGCCUGCAGUACCAUGCCAAGGCCUUGACUUGCAUGCACAGUAAUGAUCUCAAUUGCAACCAACCCAGCUGCUGAAGUAAUAUAACAAGGAAAACUUCUCUUGCUAUCUGGGAAUGAAAUAACCAAAUACAUUCCUUCAGCCUGAAGUACCCAAAAUGCCUUGAUAAAAAUGCAGACAAAGAAGUGUAGCGAUGUGAUUCAUUUAGUGGACGGGGCAUGGCCAGGUAGGGAGCUUGUGGUCACACUGCUCCAAAGCAUCUGUCUGGAUCAUGGGGGAAAAAAGAUAAAAUAAAGUGAAUGCUAGAUGUUCGUGCUGGAAAUCAAAGUCUGGAAACAGAAGAUUCACAAGCAAAAUUCCAAAUAAUAGUAUAUUCCAUGCCUCACUGCAGUGCUCAAAGGAAAAGAAGCAUGAAGGCUGCAUGCUGGAAGACUGGAGAACAAGUAUUAAACCAAGGACAAAAUACGUUCAAGAUCCAUGCUUGUCAGGGUCUGCAGCUUUGUGUGAUCACUAUCACACUGCAGAAUGAAGUGAUCCUUACUUUGGUUUGAUACGUACCGUGUUGUUAAAUUGGGCAUAAAUUAAAUACAUAUUGAGGUCCCCUAGGCCUGUGUUUAGUGAGCUUCCUACUUUCAUUAUGCUUUCUUGCAACUUGCAGCCUGGUGGUAUGCUGGCAGGCUCAUAGUGUGCCACUGCUCCCCGCUGUGAGAGCUCAGAAACCAGAGCAAGAGGGCUUGGAUCUCUAACAUUAGUCCUGUGACCUUCUGCAGCUUUCUCAUCUUUACCUGUAGUACAAUUGGCAGUCUAUGUUUUGGAAGACAAUUUGGGUGCCAUCCUUGGCUUUUUAAAGUUAACGGGACCUUUAGAUGUCCUCGCAGUCAGUUGGAGCACAGAGCAGAACAUGCUCCUCUCCUAUCACUUUGCUUAGUUGAGCUGCAGGUCCCUGAUGCUCCACAGACUUUCCACCAUAACAGGGAAAAAAAAUGGAAAUAAGCCACAGGCAGUCAGCAUUUCUGAUGGAGGGAUUCUGUAGUGGUAAGGAUCGAUAGCUCUGGUGGUUCCUCACUUUUCCUAAAGCUAGCAAACAUCAAAUUUGAAACAGUGUG